rnacentral:sRNA from 1 species
CUUAUUUGGCUCCUGUCUGCAGGGUUUACGCGCACGUUGGAAUCGAAGAGAGCUCUGUUGUUGCAAUGUUCAGCCCACAAGAGCUUACAGGUGAAGGAAUGGGACAAGACCCAUCUUUAUGCAAAGCCAGCGUUACAGUAAUGUUCCAGCAUCUCAUAAUCUAUCCUGAGGAAUUCAGCUGCCUCCCAGGGUGAAUACAGGUAAUUAUCCAAAUUGGUAUAUGUCAUCUCUAAAUGUUCACAGGAAAACAAGUGGCCGGCGGAAGCAAUAUUGUUUUUUGGCGCCUUCCAUCUUGUUCCUCUUGAAAUGAUUUUCUGGGGAGGGAGAUCGCAACCCGGUACUACAGUUCUUGUAAGGGUGUGCUGUUACCCUCAUCCAUAUAUCGAUCACGUUACUGUCAGAUGAUUUGAAUUGAUAAGCUGAUGUUCUGUGAGGUACAAAAGUUAAUAGCAUGUUAGAGUUCUGAUGGCAGUUGUUGUUUAUGAAUAAGCUUCAUUCCAUCCUAAUACCUUAAAAUAACUAAUUUGCUUUCCUUUCCAGGUAUUUCUGAUGACAGUCUGCCUCUAUCUUACAGUAAGUUGUUUUUCGAAUUCUAUGGGCCUAUUAUCUAAUAGAUAAGAUAGCCAUCUUGAAAUUUGUUACAUUUGUUACCAAAGCCU